rnacentral:rRNA from 1 species
GAUGAACGCUGGCGGCGUGCCUAAUACAUGCAAGUCGAGCGAACAGAUGAGGAGCUUGCUCCUCUGACGUUAGCGGCGGACGGGUGAGUAACACGUGGAUAACCUACCUAUAAGACUGGGAUAACUUCGGGAAACCGGAGCUAAUACCGGAUAAUAUAUUGAACCGCAUGGUUCAAUAGUGAAAGACGGUUUUGCUGUCACUUAUAGAUGGAUCCGCGCCGCAUUAGCUAGUUGGUAAGGUAACGGCUUACCAAGGCAACGAUGCGUAGCCGACCUGAGAGGGUGAUCGGCCACACUGGAACUGAGACACGGUCCAGACUCCUACGGGAGGCAGCAGUAGGGAAUCUUCCGCAAUGGGCGAAAGCCUGACGGAGCAACGCCGCGUGAGUGAUGAAGGUCUUCGGAUCGUAAAACUCUGUUAUUAGGGAGAACAAAUGUGUAAGUAACUAUGCACGUCUUGACGGUACCUAAUCAGAAAGCCACGGCUAACUACGUG